CUUAACUACUGCUACAGCGACCAUUGGGAUGUUUCCCUUCCAGUCUCCGGGGUGCCAGUCCUGGCACCUACACCCAACGAAGCAUUUUCCGUACAUUUAGGAUGUGGAAUUUGGAAUUCGUUUUUUUGGGUGGUGUCAUGAUUUGGCACACACUAGAGCUCUGUUUUGCAUUUUUGCUGGAGUUUUUGAUGUUCAGGGGGACUAGUAGGAAGGAGACCUGCACAUGUCAUUCACUAAGGAGAAAGAGCAGAGAAAGUCCAAUCCGGGAGAAACUGAUGAUGGGCGGAGCUCGGUGUCAGGGCAAGUAUAAAGCCCUGGGUUCAAAUCCCAAACUUCAAAACAAAGCUUAAAAAUCACCCAGGCAGACAGUGAGAUCCUGUCUCAGAACAAACAAAAAGAAAGAAGUCACCAGCAGCAAACAACGGGAUUUGGAAUUGACUGACCUAAUGACUGUAAUUUAGGGUGAAGUAGACCUCAUUCAUGUUCCUAUCUCAGGACUUAUUUGCUGUACAUACCAGGCCUAUUCUACUUGGACUCAGAACGGUGAGCUGGUCGCCUCUGGGCUCCCAGAAGAAGAACGCCUCCCUGCUUCCCCUUUCCACCCCUGGCUAUUCUCAUGCGCAACUGAGUUACCCAGAGCUCCUUGGUGCUCAGUGAGGUGCUUUCUGCAGACCCUGCUGUGCUCCUGAAAGUGACUAGCAUCCCACCCCCCCCCCCGCACCCUCCGAAUUUAUCCCUAUGAUGCCAAACAUGCUUAAGCGUUAUUUACAUCAAUG
rnacentral:lncRNA from 1 species